CUUGCGGCCAUAUCUCAUUGAUACAAUCUCAUACAAUCACCGAAUUUAAGCAUCGUCUGGCCUGAGCAGUACUAAGAUGGGUGACCGCUUGGGAAUAAAUGGUGGUACC